AAAACCUGACCCGGUAACUGCUGACUGCCUUGACCACCGAUGGAAAUGGUUUAAGGGUUGCCUAGGAGCCUUGGAUGGUACAUACAUCGACGUACUUGUACCUAAUGCGGACAAGCCGAGGUACCGAACUCGAAAGGGACGUAUAUCAACAAACACAUUGGCUGUGUGUGAUCGAUAUAUGAGAUUUGUGUACGUUUUACCCGGUUGGGAAGGCUCGGCUGCGGAUUCUAGAGUACUUCGUGAUGCUGUCAAUCGAGUUCAUGGAUUGCGAGUGCCAAAAGGGAAUUAUUAUCUUUGCGAUAAUGGAUAUGCGAACAGUGAAGGGUUCUUGACCCCGUACAAGGCAGUUAGAUACCAUCUCAAGGAGUGAGGACCAACAACAGAUUUGCCACAAAAUCCAAAGGAAAUGUUUAACAUGAGACACACAAGAGCACGUAACGUAAUUGAGAGAGCUUUUGCCGUGUUAAAAAUGCGCUGGGGGAUUCUGCGUAGUGCAGCAUUUUAUCCCACCAAAGUGCAGGUUCGAAUAAUCAUGACUUGUUUUUUGCUACAUAACUUCAUUCGCUCCCAGAUGGCAUCUGAUCCGAUAGAGCAAGCACUUGAUGGUGGUCAUGAGGGAGACAAUGUUGAACAUGAAGAUGAGGUUGACAAUGUUGAACAUGCAGAUGAAGGGGGAGAAUUUGUUGAUGUGAUAGAACCUUCAACAGAGUGGAACCAAAAACGAGAUGAAAUGGCACUAGCCAUGUGGAACUAUGGACAUGUAGCUGGGGAUUGAGGACGAGAGGUUAGUUUCGGUUUGUCGUUGCGGAGGCGGUAAAAUGAAACUUAAAUUUCCAGAUAGUUUUUAUCUUCAUGGCUAUUUUGCUAGUUUUGUUUGGCUUUGUAAUAGGGCGACUAGUAUGAAGCAAGAUGGAAGUGGUAUUUAGUAGCCUAUGUGCAGACUUUGUAUUAUGAUUUUGGGCAUUUUAAUGUCAUAAUACUUCUCCUAUUGUUGUAUAAAGUUUAUCACGUUUCAUUUGGG